UGCCAGAAGUACCUUUUGUAGAAAGGUUACUAACCUGCGACAGAUGAAAGUUAAAAGAACACGCUGUAGCGAUGGUCUUGUAUACCUGUCUGCGUGGCGCCUCUCAAGAAAAGAAAAAUCCAAACCUGCGUAUACACCUGUCACGGGCUGUGCUCCCUUCCCAAAGCCAAAGGGGGGAGUGCUCCUGUGCUGCACCAUGAGUGUGGGGGGUCGGACACAAAGCGUAUUUACCCCGUACUGGCAACCCGGGGUAGUGGCAGUUCGCAAAAGAAGAUGAUCACUGCUGUCUGGAACUGGUCUGCUGUGGACGAAUUGAAGAGGCAAGUGAAUGCAGUAUUUUAUGCCGGCUUUGGAUGGGUUUUCUACCUGGACUUCUUUGUGUCUGACUUCCAUGUCUGCCCAUACGUCCGUUUGGAGAACAGCUUACAGCAGCAGAGCAGCCAGGAAGCAGAGCAAGAAUACUUCCCACAAAUGAGUGCAUCCUUGCCAGCGUUUAACACACAGGCACUUUCAAACCACUUUAUGGAUUUAAGAAUCCAGCAUCCAAAAGCUUUAAGACACCAUUGCUUGAGAAGCUUUCAACAUCCUCAAAGGCAUCUAAUUGUUCAGGACAUACUGAGUAUCUGCACUUACAGAAAUCAAGCCUCAAGUGGAACUCCCCUGAAAGCAAGGCACCGGGAAGCCAAGAUUAGUUUUCAGAAAUUACCAUCACAGAUGGCUUCCUGCAAUACAAAGAAGGCUCCUGGCAAGGCAGUUUGCUGGAUAACAUUCGAAUUGGAUGUGAUGGAAUUUCAAGGUGAGAUCAGUAUCUGGAACCAUGAUGCAAUUUAUGCUGUUAUCAUUUCAUGA
rnacentral:lncRNA from 1 species